rnacentral:misc_RNA from 1 species
UGACAUGUAUGGAAAAUGUGGGAACUUGAAAAGUGCUAGAGUUUGGUUUUACCAAAUGAGUCAAUCACGGGAUAACAUUUCUUGGAAUGCAUUGUUGACCAGUUAUGCCCGCCACCGCCAGAGUGAACAAGCUAUGAUGAUUUUUGGGGAGAUGCAAUGGGAGACAAGACCCAGUAUCUUUACUUUUGGAACUCUAUUGGCAGCUUGUGCAAAUAUUUUUGCACUUUGUCAAGGAAAGCAAAUACAUGGGUUCAUGAUUAGAAAUGGAUAUGAUAUAGAUAUUGUAAUCCGAGGAGCUCUGGUUGACAUGUACUCUAAAUGUCGUUGUAUUGCAUAUGCUGUCACAGUCUUUAGAGAGGCAGCUUCCCGGGAUGUGGUUCUUUGGAACUCCAUAAUUUUGGGAUGCUGUCACAAUGGAAGGGGUGAAGAGGUACUUAAAUUGUUUGAAUUAAUGGUGGAGGAAGGGAUUAAGCCAGACCAGGCUACCUUUCAAGGCGUAUUGCUUGCUUGUAUUAUUGAAGGUCGUGUUGACUUGGCUAGCCAGUAUUUUAAUUCAAUGAGCAAUGAAUAUUGUAUUAUACCUCGGUUGGAGCACUAUGAGUUUAUGAUUGAACUCUUCAUUCGGUAUAGGUGCAUGAAUGAGCUUGAGGAUUUUGUUAAGGGGAUGCCAUUUGAUCCCACUGCCUCCAUUCUUGCAAGAGUUUUUGAUGCUUGUAAAGAGCAUGGAUGGUCAAGGUUGGGAAAAUGGGCUGCUGAACACCUUAAUGAAUGAAUCUUUUUACUCCUUUGCAAUUUGAAGGCAGAGAUAAACCAAUCUAGGCUAGUUGUGAUCACCAAAUUACAGACAAGGGAAUCUUAGUAUGCCUUGCAACUGCAGGUAACAGACUUCAAGUUCUCUUGUCAUAAGUGGAUUUAGUAUGAGGGACAUUGGUGUUAAAACUGGGGUCAAGGGCUCAUCCAAAAGUUACAUCAUGGUGACAUGCCCACUAACAUAUCACCUGCCAUUUCUAAAGAUAGAUUUUUUAUAGCAUUUUUGGGAUUGUUGGAAUUGAUUAAAGGUACUAUUUUGUACCUUCAUAUGGUUCUCAGUUGUUAGAUGGUUAUGCAUUCUAUAAAUAGCUGCAACUUAAUUCUGGAAUUGUGAUUUUCAGCAUCAUGUAACUGAGGACCUGCCAAUGCCCCUGCUAUUUCAAUUCCUUCAGAGACUUAGAAUUCAAAAUAUUUGUCUGUGAACA